UGUGGCCAAGUUUUUAAGGGCGCACGGUGGAUGCCUUGGCACCAGGAACCGAUGAAGGACGUGGGAGGCCACGAUAGUCCCCGGGGAGCUGUCAACCAAGCUUUGAUCCGGGGGUUUCCGAAUGGGGAAACCCGGCAGUCGUCAUGGGCUGUCACCCGCUGCUGAACACAUAGGCAGUGUGGAGGGAACGAGGGGAAGUGAAACAUCUCAGUACCCUCAGGAAGAGAAAACAACCGUGAUUCCGGGAGUAGUGGCGAGCGAAACUGGAUGAGGCCAAACCGUAUGCGUGUGAUACCCGGCAGGGGUUGCGUAUGCGGGGUUGUGGGAGUUCUCUUUCACAGUCUGCCGGCUGUGAGGCGAGUCAGAAACCGUUGAUGUAGGCGAAGGACAUGCGAAAGGUCCGGCGUAGAGGGUAAGACCCCCGUAGCUGAAACAUUGACGGCUCGUUUGAGAAUCACCCAAGUAGCACGGGGCCCGAGAAAUCCCGUGUGAAUCUGGCGGGACCACCCGCUAAGCCUAAAUAUUCCCUGGUGACCGAUAGCGGAUAGUACCGUGAGGGAAUGGUGAAAAGUACCGCGGGAGCGGAGUGAAAUAGUACCUGAAACCGUGUGCCUACAAGCCGUGGGAGCGUCGCGCAUCGAGCUUGCUCGGUGCGUCGUGACUGCGUGCCUUUUGAAGAAUGAGCCUGCGAGUUAGCGGUGUGUAGCGAGGUUAACCCGUGUGGGGAAGCCGUAGCGAAAGCGAGUCCGAACAGGGCGAGUUAGUUGCACGCUCUAGACCCGAAGCGGAGUGAUCUAGCCAUGGGCAGGUUGAAGCGGAGGUAAGACUUCGUGGAGGACCGAACCCACCAGGGUUGAAAACCUGGGGGAUGACCUGUGGUUAGGGGUGAAAGGCCAAUCAAACUCCGUGAUAGCUGGUUCUCCCCGAAAUGCAUUUAGGUGCAGCGUCGUGUGUUUCUUGCCGGAGGUAGAGCACUGGAUAGGCGAUGGGCCCUACCGGGUUACUGACCUUAGCCAAACUCCGAAUGCCGGUAAGUGAGAGCGCGGCAGUGAGACUGUGGGGGAUAAGCUCCAUGGUCGAGAGGGAAACAGCCCAGAGCAUCGACUAAGGCCCCUAAGCGUACGCUAAGUGGGAAAGGAUGUGGAGUCGCAGAGACAACCAGGAGGUUGGCUUAGAAGCAGCCACCCUUGAAAGAGUGCGUAAUAGCUCACUGGUCAAGUGAUUCCGCGCCGACAAUGUAGCGGGGCUCAAGCGUACCGCCGAAGUCGUGUCA
rnacentral:rRNA from 1 species